AGAUAGAAAAAAGUUUUCAACUAAUUAAAUGUUUAGAAUUUUAUUUUCUAUAUUUUACUAGUUAACAAUUUUUUGAUA
ensembl:ncRNA Y110A2AL.17 ncRNA